rnacentral:rRNA from 1 species
UACGUAGGGUGCGAGCGUUAAUCGGAAUUACUGGGCGUAAAGCGUGCGCAGGCGGUCCGUUAAGACAGAUGUGAAAUCCCCGGGCUUAACCUGGGAAUUGCAUUUGUGACUGCACGGCUAGAGUGUGUCAGAGGGGGGUAGAAUUCCACGUGUAGCAGUGAAAUGCGUAGAUAUGUGGAGGAAUACCGAUGGCGAAGGCAGCCCCCUGGGAUAACACUGACGCUCAUGCACGAAAGCGUGGGGAGCAAACAGG